rnacentral:rRNA from 1 species
CACGUAGGGGGCGAGCGUUGUCCGGAAUCAUUGGGCGUAAAGAGCUCGUAGGCGGCUCAGUAAGUCGGGUGUGAAACCCCCAGGCUCAACCUGGGGACGCCACCCGAUACUGCUGUGGCUAGAGUCCAGUAGGGGAGUGUGGAAUUCCCGGUGUAGCGGUGAAAUGCGCAGAUAUCAGGAAGAACACCUAUGGCGAAAGCAGCUCUCUGGGACGGUACUGACGCUGAGACGCGAAAGCGUGGGGAGCGAACAGG